rnacentral:ribozyme from 11 species
UCAUUGCAGCAUGAGACAUGUCCGAGACGGGAUUUUGUCUCAGUUUGAGCUCGAGGGCAAUCAGAAAGCCGACCAAUAUGCCAAGCGGGGGGCCAGCUAUGGUGCUGCAGCGGAGUCUGAUGUGCUGUUUGUCGAAGGCUGCUUGGAAAUGGCUCGCCAAGCGUGCAGAUUU